AUGACGGCUACGGCGACCGCUCCGGCGACUGCGACGAAGCUGGCGGCGGACGAGUACACUGCAGAGCUUGCGGGAGUGCCGGUGGGGGCACCGGAGGGUGUGGCGGAGACCGCGGACGGCGUCAUCGCUGAGGGAGCGUCAGUCGGCGCGUCGGUGGGCGGGGCCGGGGGAGAGGCCAUCGGGGACGGCGACGCGGCGGUGGGCGAGGUGGCGACAGGCGCAGGGGCAGUGGCCGGGGACCUCGCCGGAGGCGCCGGUAGUGGGGCCAUCCUGGGCGCCGGCAUGGGGCCCUGCGCGGCGGUGGCGACGGCAAGGAGGGCGAUGAUUGCGGCGACCACGGCGAAGCGAGCCAUCUGGUAG
rnacentral:rRNA from 1 species